CUUUCUUCACCGAGUGUGUAACUACAGGACGUGUGCAGAAGGUUUAAUCGUCCUCCUGACAGUUAUUGAUGAGCGAGUCCUUCAGGGAGGCUCCAAGAUCACUGUGGGUUUUACCAGCUGCUGCUAAACUGAGAGGGAGACGAUAAAGUGAGCUCAACCUUAAACAUGUGGAGAGAACGUUUGACCAACAGUCCUGGGACGACUACAGAACAAUGGACCAGCUCACAGGCACAACAGACUGCAGAGCAAUCAAGGCACCAGUUAAACGUCCAUGUGCCCGGCUUACAGCCAAUGAACAAUCAGUACGGUCCCCAUUGUCCCCACCAACAUCACUGUACUGGAAAGACUGUGCUGCCAUAGUCAGAGAUGAACUGGUACUAAAAUGUAAGGCAGCUAAUGUGUGUGGCAUCAGCAGCACAAAUGCAUCAUGGCUGCAACGCUCCAGUGUGUUUAAACAUUUGAACAUUUCUGUGGCUUCAAACCAGCAGCUCCUCUGUACUCAGUCAUGUUUGUGUGUCUGUCAAAGUGAUUGUUGUCUUUAAAAAGCCUUUUGUGUUUGAGUUUUGUGAGCAGUGCCGAGCUUCUCUUUAGUCUAAGG